AGUGAAGCGGCAAGAGCUCAAAUUUGAAAUCUAGCACCGCUGGUGCUCGAGUUGUAAUUUGUAGAGUGGAUCCUUGGGGCCGUUCCUUGCCUAUGUUCCUUGGAACAGGACGUCAUGGAGGGUGAGAACCCCGUGUGGCGAGGGGCGCGGCUCCGUGUAAGGGCUGCUCGAAGAGUCGAGUUGUUUGGGAAUGCAGCUCUAAGUGGGUGGUAAAUUCCAUCUAAAGCUAAAUACAGGCGAGAGACCGAUAGCGAACAAGUACAGUGAUGGAAAGAUGAAAAGAACUUUGAAAAGAGAGUGAAAAAGUACGUGAAAUUGUUGAAAGGGAAGGGCAUUUGAUCAGACAUGGUGUUUUGCGCCCCCUGCUCCUUGUGGGCGGGGGAUCCUCGCAGCUCACUGGGCCAGCAUCAGUUUUGGCGGCUGGAUAAAACCGGAGGAAUGUGGCUUCUCUCGGGAAGUGUUAUAGCCUGCGGGAAUGCGGCCAGCCGGGACUGAGGAACGCGACUUUUGUCAAGGAUGCUGGCAUAAUGGUUAUAUGCCGCCCGUCUUGAACAACGGACCC
rnacentral:rRNA from 1 species